GACGAACGCUGGCGGCGUGCUUAACACAUGCAAGUCGAACGGAAAGGCCCUGCUUUUGUGGGGUGCUCGAGUGGCGAACGGGUGAGUAACACGUGAGUAACCUGCCCUUGACUUUGGGAUAACUUCAGGAAACUGGGGCUAAUACCGGAUAGGAGCUCCUGCUGCAUGGUGGGGGUUGGAAAGUUUCGGCGGUUGGGGAUGGACUCGCGGCUUAUCAGCUUGUUGGUGGGGUAGUGGCUUACCAAGGCUUUGACGGGUAGCCGGCCUGAGAGGGUGACCGGCCACAUUGGGACUGAGAGACGGCCCAGACGCCUACGGGAGGCAGCAGUGGGGAAUAUUGCACAAUGGGCGGAAGCCGGAUGCAGCAACGCCGCGUGCGGGAUGACGGCCUUCGGGUUGUAAACCGCUUUCGCCUGUGACGAAGCGUGAGUGACGGUAAUGAGUAAAGAAGCACCGGCUAACUACGUG
rnacentral:rRNA from 1 species